rnacentral:rRNA from 1 species
GUUGUAUAGUCAAGUAAUUAAGUGCAUGUGGUGGAUGCCUUGGCAGUCAGAGGCGAUGAAAGACGUGAUAGCCUGCGAAAAGCUCCGGGGAGGCGGCAAAUAUCCUUUGAUCCGGAGAUUUCUGAAUGGGGGAACCCAUCUACUUUAAGGUAGGUAUUGCAACAUGAAUACAUAGUGUUGCAAGGCGAACGAGGGGAAGUGAAACAUCUCAGUACCCUUAGGAAAAGAAAUCAAUUGAGAUUCCCUCAGUAGCGGCGAGCGAACGGGGAUCAGCCCAUUAAGUUAUGUGUGUUUUAGUGGAACGCUCUGGGAAGUGCGAACGUAGAGGGUGAUAUUCCCGUACACGAAAGGGCACACAUAAUGAUGACGAGUAGGGCGAGGCACGUGAAACCUUGUCUGAAUAUGGGGGGACCAUCCUCCAAGGCUAAAUACUCCUGACUGACCGAUAGUGAACCAGUACCGUGAGGGAAAGGCGAAAAGAACCCCUGUGAGGGGAGUGAAAUAGAUCCUGAAACCGCAUGCAUACAAGCAGUGGGAGCACCUUCGUGGUGUGACUGCGUACCUUUUGUAUAAUGGGUCAGCGACUUAUAUUCAGUAGCGAGGUUAACCGUAUAGGGGAGCCGUAGGGAAACCGAGUCUUAAUAGGGCGUUUAGUUGCUGGGUAUAGACCCGAAACCAGGCGAUCUAUCCAUGAGCAGGUUGAAGGUUGGGUAACACUAACUGGAGGACCGAACCCACUGUCGUUGAAAAGCCAGGGGAUGACUUGUGGAUAGGGGUGAAAGGCUAAUCAAGCCUGGUGAUAGCUGGUUCUCCCCGAAAGCUAUUUAGGUAGCGCCUCGGACGAAUACCAUAGGGGGUAGAGCACUGUUUCGGCUAGGGGGUCAUCCCGACUUACCAAACCGAUGCAAACUCCGAAUACCUAUGAGUACUAUCCGGGAGACAGACUGCGGGUGCUAACGUCCGUAGUCAAGAGGAAAACAAUCCAGACCGCCAGCUAAGGCCCCAAAAUCAUAGUUAAGUGGGAAACGAUGUGGGAAGGCAUAGACAGCUAGGAGGUUGGCUUAGAAGCAGCCACCCUUUAAAGAAAGCGUAAUAGCUCACUAGUCGAGUCGGCCUGCGCGGAAGAUGUAACGGGGCUAAAACUAUGUGCCGAAGCUGCGGAUUUGACAUUAGUCAAGUGGUAGGGGAGCGUUCUGUAAGCCGAUGAAGGUGUAUUGAGAAGUAUGCUGGAGGUAUCAGAAGUGCGAAUGCUGACGUGAGUAACGACAAAACGGG